ACUAUAUAAUAGAGGGACGACCCUCUAGCCAGUGCGCAAAACCAUCAGCGCUACGGCUUGUACUGCGCAGCCUAUCCGGAAGCUGGCGAAAACGUGUGUUGACUUCAGUCAUCGAUUUAGCGUGAUUUUCAUUGCAAAGAUGCCCAGGAAAAAGAAAGUUUUCAUCGGCAGUCGACGGAAGGGCUACUCAAAGUGGGGUCCGAAACAAAAAGGUGUCAGUUCUUCCUCUCUCUCUGACAUUCUUAUCCAUCAGUUCAAUCAACUGUUCUCGACGAUUGCAGUUCAAGAGAUGCACUGUGGGACAAAGCAUGGAAGUCAUUCUUCAUUGACUUCACCGAUGAACCCACAGAUACCCCAUGCCUGGAAGAAGCGAAAGAAUCUGAUGGUUGUUCGGCUGAUGAAUUCUUUGGGUUUAUUUGACACAAUUCACCAGUAUGAUCCGGACAACAAUGUAGAUGAAUUUGUUGAUGGCAUCCUGCGAUACCAGCAAUAUUUAACAUUAAAAAAGGAGCUGUUUCAGCAUGUAGAUGAGCUAGGCAAUUUUACAAUUGCAAGAAACAAGCAUGAAAACAUUACUAUUGUGCAGUUUUAUGACUGA
rnacentral:misc_RNA from 1 species